rnacentral:rRNA from 1 species
AGUAUCGAUAAACUGCGUAAUUGAUGUGGUCUGCGGAUGAAGGAGCUUGCUCCUGGGUUCACCGGCCGACGGGUGAGUACUGCCUAGGGAGGUGCCUGGUAGUGGGGGACAACGUUUCGAAAGGAACGCUAAUACCGCAUACGUCCUACGGGAGAAAGCAGGGGACCUUCGGGCCUUGCGCUAUCAGAUGAGCCUAGGUCGGAUUAGCUAUUAACGUGAGGUAACGGCGGACCAAGGCAACGAUCCGUAACUGGUCUGAGAGGAUGAUCAGUCACACUGGAACUGAGACACGGUCCAGACUCCUACGGGAGGCAGCAGUGGGGAAUAUUGGACAAUGGGCGAAAGCCUGAUCCAGCCAUGCCGCGUGUGUGAAGAAGGUCUUCGGAUUGUAAAGCACUUUAAGUUGGGAGGAAGGGUUGUAGAUUAAUACUCUGCAAUUUUGACGUUACCGACAGAAUAAGCACCGGCUAACUCUGUGCCAGCAGCCGCGGUAAUACAGAGGGUGCAAGCGUUAAUCGGAAUUACUGGGCGUAAAGCGCGCGUAGGUGGUUUGUUAAGUUGGAUGUGAAAUCCCCGGGCUCAACCUGGGAACUGCAUCCCAAACUGGCAAGCUAGAGUAUGGUAGAGGGUGGUGGAAUUUCCUGUGUAGCGGUGAAAUGCGUAGAUAUAGGAAGGGAACACCAGUGGCGAAAGCGACCACCUGGACUGAUACUGACCACUGAGGUGC